rnacentral:rRNA from 1 species
CCUACGGGAGGCAGCAGUGAGGAAUUUUGGACAAUGGGCGCAAGCCUGAUCCAGCCAUGCCGCGUGCGGGAAGAAGGCCUUCGGGUUGUAAACCGCUUUUGGCAGGAACGAAACGGCGCGAGCCAAUACCUCGCGCUAAUGACGGUACCUGCAGAAUAAGCACCGGCUAACUACGUGCCAGCAGCCGCGGUAAUACGUAGGGUGCAAGCGUUAAUCGGAAUUACUGGGCGUAAAGCGUACGCAGGCGGCUUUGCAAGACAGGUGUGAAAUCCCCGGGCCUAACCUGGGAACUGCAUUUGUGACUGCAUGGCUAGAGUCUGUCAGAGGGGGGUGGAAUUCCACGUGUAGCAGUGAAAUGCGUAGAGAUGUGGAAGAACACCGAUGGCGAAGGCAGCCCCCUGGGAUGAGACUGACGCUCAUGUACGAAAGCGUGGGGAGCAAACAGGAUUAGAUACCCUGGUAGUCCACGCCCUAAACGAUGUCUACUAGUUGUCGGGGGGUAACUCCUUCGGUAACGCAGCUAACGCGUGAAGUAGACCGCCUGGGGAGUACGGUCGCAAGAUUAAAACUCAAAGGAAUUGACGG